CCUACGGGGGGCAGCAGUGGGGAAUAUUGGGCAAUGGGCGCAAGCCUGACCCAGCAACGCCGCGUGAAGGAAGCCGGCUUUCGGGUUGUCCCCUUCUUUUCUCCGGGACGCCGCCAGUGCCGGUACCUGAUGAAUAAGCCACGGCUAACUACGUGCCAGCAGCCGCGGUAAUACGUAGGUGGCAAGCGUUAUCCGGAUUUACUGGGUGUAAAGGGCGUGUAGGCGGGAGUGCAAGUCCGAUGUGAAAACUAUGGGCUCAACCCAUAGCCUGCAUUUGAAACUGUACUUCUUGAGUGCUGGAGAGG
rnacentral:rRNA from 1 species